AGCCAGAGCCUGGCCGAGAUUGCAGCCUGAAAGCCUCUUCCAGCACCAGCUCCCGCUCUGAUUUCCCGGGAAGCGAAGGCCAAGCUCUCCUCGCAAACCCCAGCGGGCAGCGCCGAUCCGGAGAAAAUUUCAAGGGACGUAAUUAAUGAGAAUUAAUUAACCUGAAGGAGCGGGCUUGCUGCUGGUGGCCUGCACCAGGGCAGUUCUCCGCCCUCUCCUCGUUUUCCGCACGGAUGAGGAGGCGGAGGCAGCCCCGGCGCUUUGGGGAGGGCGAGGGGAUGGAGCCGACGAGGCACUUCCAUGGUCCGCUUCACCUUUAAUGUACGGAAAGGAGUUAAAACGGGAGACAAAUUCCUCGGCAGGCAGCGCGGCCAGGCCGGAUUUCCUUAUGCAUGGAUGGGCUGACGCGCGGAUCCGUCAUGAAACCGGCAUUAAAAAUUAGUCGGAGCUGUUAGGCCGGCGCGGCCGAGCAGAUGGUUCGUGCUCGGAAGUGUUUCGGGAGUCUCCUUUUAUUAUCCGUGGAUGCCUCGUGGCCUGGGAUUCUCAUUUUCCACACUCUACAGAGCAGCACGGCUCUGCUGCCACCACGGCUGUGGGAUCCCAGAUCCUGAUGGAACCUCCACAAGCACCACGAUCUCACCUCGGACCUGGAAUGAUGCUGAGGAUGGAGCCAGGAUGGGCUUGGACAAGCAGAGAAUCCCGGAGAACGCUGGAAACGUGGAAAUCCAGCGGGUCGGGCUGUGGCACCGGGACCUGGAGCUGCUCCCGAAGGAUCCCGAGACAACUCAAUCCCGGCUGUCCGAGCCCUGCCUUCGGCCCCAGCACGGCCUCAGGUACACGGAUCGUGGAAUUCCGGAAUCCUGGGAUGGUUCUGGGUGGGAAGGGACCUUAAAUCCCAUCCCAGGGAUGGGCAGGGAUACCUUUUCUUAUCCCAGGCUGCUCCAAUCCCUUGGACACUUCCAGGGAUCCAGGGGCAGCCACAGCUGCUCUGGGAAUUCCAGCCCAGCCGCUCCUCACCCUUCCAGGGAACAAUUCCUAAUUCCCAAUAUCCCACCCAUCCCUGCCCUCGGGCAGUGGGAGCCAUUCCCUGGGUCCUGUCCCUCCAUCCCCUGUCCCCAGUCCCUCUCCAGCUCUCCUGCAGCCCCUUCAGGCCCUGCAAGGGCUCUGAGCUCUCCCUGGAUCCUUCCCCUCUCCAGGGGAACAUUCCCAGCUCUCCCAGCCCUGGAAUGGCUCCGUGGUCUCCUCUGGAAUUGCUGCAGCAGCUCCAGGUCCUGCUGGUGCUGGCAUCCAGCGCUGGAGCAGCUCUGCAGGUGCGGCCUCACCUGA
rnacentral:lncRNA from 1 species